AACACAGUUCUCAUUUGCUUUUGUUCCUGUGGUACAGUAGAACUGUUGUUGUUUAGCCUGUUAAUUUUGUUGAGUUCCUCUCCUGAAUUUUAGUGUGCCAUGCCCAAUAAUUUAAUUGUAUUGUCUUGUGUUUAUUUUCAUGCAGCUGUAGUGCAUCCUUGCACUAUGGACAUGUUGUUUUGUCCAUUUGGCUGUUGUUUUCUCAUACAAGAGUUAUCAGCUUCCAAUGUAAUCACACAAUUAUUUGACCUGCAGGGCUCAUAAGUUUCAGAUAAGGAAACAAAGCAUUCUGUAGGCUUCAGUUUUAGCUGGUUAUGGACAUGGGCAACUGACAUGCCGAGAAAAUAAAUUAUGUCUUAUCUGGGUACUUGGCAACUAUCGAUAAUAAAUCUAAUGAGAAUUCUAUUUAGCACAAAAUUCAACCAAACCUGGGAAGAGUGAGCUAUCCGAUGUAAUCUGUUCGAGCGGUGGCUUUCUCCCCGGGCUCAAAGGAUCAAUUAUGGUUUAAAUCCGACGGAGUAGGCCUAUGGAGGGAUCUAGCAGUGUUCUGGACAGGUUUCCUCCUCAACUUGGCAGCAUCAACUAGAGCAGCCGAACAUAAGACACGACUGGCUGGAAAGGGGAGCUCAUAAUUAACACACCUGUGGGUUUUGCUGUCUCAUGCUGGUUUUCUCGGAAAUACCAGGCAUGGGCAAACACUCUUAGACCCACAUGACCUUGAUGAUGUCGACCUGCUCAGAUGAUGAAUUUGAUGAGUCCAGUCCAUCCUUGCACGGUGGUCUGCAGGCUGUUCGGUCGAUUUGGUUGUUGUGUUUCUGCAAAAGGGAAGCAGGGGUUUAAGAUUUUUCUUUUACCGUACCAUGCCUGACAAUUUAAUUGUACCGUUCUAUGUUUACUUUGGCAAGGCUGUAGCGCAUUCUUGCACAUGUUGUCUCGUCAAUUUGGCUGUUGUGUCUCAGCUUCCAGUGCGAUUCGUUAUUUAAAUUGUAUCCAUUUGAGAUUUGGUUUCGCUAUGCUUUCUUAAUGAAUAUCAAGUGCAACAAAUCUGUUGCGUAGUUUGUCAAGCGAGAACAUAAACUAAUUGUUCAACAGAAACUAGGACACAGAAAGUUGUAGUAUAUUUUGAUGAUGUGGACGAGUUUACUCGCAAUUUACCUGACGAGUGAUCUGGUCCAUUUCCUCCAAACUGAGAUAUAAAGGAAAGCCACGGGCUACAGAAAUUUUUGAUGAAGGAAGCAGGUAUGAAGCUGUUGAUGAGAUGUGGACAGAUAAUAUAGUAGCAACUUCAUCUUCUUUAAGUAUAGCUGAAGGAAGGUGCUUUGAGCAAGAUAAAGCUGAGCGAAUCCUGUCACAAGACUCCAAAAUGGCGACUGGUAUCAGGGAGCUAAUGGGACUUCUACAGACGCUUGGGGAACACUAUAGGCUAUCUUGCUUGUUUAAGUGCCAGGUAGAUUAAAGAUGUACAGGUUUCAACUACAGAAAUACUAACCAUCUACCCAACGUUCAAACGAAUUCUGUUCACUUAAUGUUGCAUAUGUACGCAUGCUUUUGUGAAACUA